rnacentral:tRNA from 1 species
GCCAAUGUAGCUCAGUUGGUAGAGCAACGGUUUUGUAAACCGUCGGUCGGAGGUUCGAGUCCUCUCAGUGGCUCCA